rnacentral:rRNA from 1 species
AUUGAACGCUGGCGGCAUGCCUUACACAUGCAAGUCGAACGGCAGCGGGGGAGAAGCUUGCUUUUCCUGCCGGCGAGUGGCAAACGGGGGAGUAAUACAUCGGAACGUGCCCUGUAGUGGGGGAUAACUAGUCGAACGAUUAGCUAAUACCGCAUACGACCUGAGGGUGAAAGUGGGGGACCGCAAGGCCGCAUGCUAUAGGAGCGGCCGAUGCCUGAGUAGCUAGUUGGUGGGGUAAAGGCCUACCAAGGCGACGAUCAGUAGCUGGUCUGAGAGGACGAUCAGCCACACUGGGACUGAGACACGGCCCAGACUCCUACGGGAGGCAGCAGUGGGGAAUUUUGGACAAUGGGCGAAAGCCUGAUCCAGCAAUGCCGCGUGUGCGAAGAAGGCCUUCGGGUUGUAAAGCACUUUUGUCCGGAAAGAAAUGGCUCUGGUUAAUACCUGGGGUCGAUGACGGUACCGGAAGAAUAAGGACCGGCUAACUACGUGCCAGCCGCCGCCGUAA